UAAGGAAUAUUGGUCAAUGGACGCAAGUCUGAACCAGCCAUGCCGCGUGAAGGAUGAAGGUCCUCUGGAUUGUAAACUUCUUUUAUCUGGGACGAAAACGGGAUUUUUAUCUCAAUUGACGGUACCAGAGGAAUAAGCACCGGCUAACUCCGUGCCAGCAGCCGCGGUAAUACGGAGGGUGCGAGCGUUAUCCGGAUUUACUGGGGUUAAAGGGUGCGUAGGUGGAGUUAUAAGUCAGUGGUGAAAUCUCCGAGCUUAACUUGGAAACUGCCGUUGAUACUAUAGGUCUUGAAUUAUCUGGAGGUAAGCGGAAUAUGUCAUGUAGCGGUGAAAUGCUUAGAUAUGACAUAGAACACCAAUUGCGAAGGCAGCUUACUACAUAUAAAUUGACGCUGAGGCACGAAAGCGUGGGGAUCAAACA
rnacentral:rRNA from 1 species